GCGCCUGUAGCUCAGCUGGAUAGAGUACCUGGCUACGAACCAGGCGGUCAGAGGUUCGAAUCCUCUCAGGCGUACCA
rnacentral:tRNA from 2 species